GGCUCAUCCUCUUGAAGACUUCCAGAAGCUUGACAUCAAUCCAGACCCUGAAGUUGGUGACCUAAGACCUCCAAUGGGUAAUUCUCAAGCCACUGAUAAGGCUGGCGUGUCUCGGAGAGCUGAGUCUGUGGACAGAGAAGUCAAGAGCCCCUUAGGGAAAAGUUCUGAGAGAUUGUUUCUUUAUUCUAGCUCCCCUUGCAGCCCACAACAGAGCUCUAGUCCCCAAGUUAGUUUCUCAGGAAAGGCCCCUCAGCAGCUUCAGCUCAAGAGCACCACUGGAGACCAAAGCAAAUCACCAUCUUCACCACCAAGGCACAGGAUCCUUGAUGAUAGCGUUGUGUCUGAGAGGGUGGCUUCCACAGAGCAUGGUCCACCAAGCAGUGGGAGGCCCAGUCAGUGCCAGGGCAGGGCAGCAAAUGAGGAUGGGAAGUCAGUGUUUAUGGUAGAGUCACAACCCAACGUGGACCGACCUUCAUCACGGAGAGGUCUUCAGCCCCUUAGCCCUUGUCAGAUCUCUGCUACUACAGGGCUUCAAAGUCCUGCUGUAGAUCCACCUCAGGUCUGCCAACCUGUGGGGCUGCUCUGUCCUGGUUCACAAAUGUAUGUGGCCUCUGGUCCCCAGCAUCACAACCUCAGGGACCUCUCAGUUCAUAACAAAUUUAAUAACUGGUAUGGAGUUCAGGAUGGACCUUGCAAAAGUCUGCAUGUAGGUGACAGUUUAGGGGUCAGAUGUGACUUGAGUUCUGUAGGGACACAAAGGCCCCU
rnacentral:lncRNA from 1 species